rnacentral:rRNA from 1 species
UACGGGGGGGGCAAGCGUUGUUCGGAAUUACUGGGCGUAAAGGGCUCGUAGGCGGCCAACUAAGUCAGACGUGAAAUCCCUCGGCUUAACCGGGGAACUGCGUCUGAUACUGGAUGGCUUGAAUCCGGGAGAGGGAUGCGGAAUUCCAGGUGUAGCGGUGAAAUGCGUAGAUAUCUGGAGGAACACCGGUGGCGAAGGCGGCAUCCUGGACCGGCAUUGACGCUGAGGAGCGAAAGCUAGGGGAGCAAACGGG